ACAAGCAGUAUUUUCCAUGCUGGAAAAACUGAGUCUAGACUUCUGCCCCUUAGGAAGUUGUUCCUAGGCAACUGCUUCUGAAUGCUGCUAUGUUCUCUUAGCAGAUGUCUGCUCUGCUCUGCCAAAAGGAGAAAAUGUUCAUCCAGAUGUAGUGGCUGAGCAUGCAAGGGAAAGGAAGAAGAAAGAGAGCAAUACAAAUACUGAAGUUCUUGUACAGCAAUUCAACUCUUCAGAGAUUAAGCAGUACUGGAGGGCUUCCCCCCUGACAGGUGACAGCACAGGGAGAAGCUGGCAGCUCUGAGGGGAGCAGGGUGAAGCCAAAUACUGAACUGCAUGCUGGAGGCUGCUGUUGACUACAAAGGGAGUUGAAGUGACCAGCUGAGAUCAGCUUCUAAAUGGGUAAACCCAGUAUUAAAGGCAGAAAUCAAAGCACAGGACCCAUGGGAAGCGACGUUUCAAAUGUACACCAUUGCUUUUCUUCGUCAUUGUUCUGAACUGUGCACCCUCUGCUCCUGACAGUGCACCCACAACAAGAUAAGGAGUUUGAGUACGUAAGCGUCUUCUGUGGGAAGAGGAGCAACAGCUGCCCACCAAAUUGGAAGAAGAUAUAAUGAAUGCAUCUUCUCUGAAUCACAAGAAAAAGACGAUUUCAACUUAAGAGAACAUUUUAAUCUCAGUCAAAAUGGGGCAUCUUCACCAUAAGGUUGUCUGCAGUCAUGGUAUGGCUUUCCUGACUUUGCUAAUUCCUUUGGGCUUUAAUUAGAAACACUUCAGCAACACUUCCUAAAGCAUGCAAAUGUUGGGGCUCCCACUAACAGUAUUAUUAAGAUAGAGUCUUAAUUCAUUUUUCUAUGGUGGCAGUAUGUUUCUUCUUCAGUUUAUUGUGGC
ensembl:lncRNA